rnacentral:rRNA from 1 species
CCUACGGGUGGCAGCAGUGAGGAAUAUUUGUCAAUGGACGAGAGUCUGAUCCAGCCAAGUCGCGUGAAGGAUGACUGCCCUUUGGGUUGUAAACUUCUUUUAUAUGGGAAUAAAAUGUUCCACGUGUGGGAUUUUGUAUGUACCAUAUUAAUACGGAUCGGCUAACUCCGUGCCUACAGCCGCGGUAAUACGGGGGAUCCGAGCGUUAUCCGGAUUUAUUGGGUUUAAAGGGAGCAUAGGUGGAUUGUUAAGUCAGGUGUGAAAGGUUGCGGCUCAACCGUAAAAUUGCAGUUGAAACUGGCAGUCUUGAGUACAGUAGAGGUGGGCGGAAUUCGUGGUGUAGCGGUGAAAUGCUUAGAUAUCACGAAGAACUCCGAUUGCGAAGGCAGGUCACUGGACUGCAACUGACACUGAGGCUCGAAAGUGUGGGUAUCAAACAGGAUUAGAUACCCCAGUAGUC